GAUGAACGCUGGCGGCGUGCCUAAUACAUGCCAGUCGAGCGAACGGACGAGAAGCUUGCUUCUCUGAUGUUAGCGGCGGACGGGUGAGUAACACGUGGAUAACCUACCUAUAAGACUGGGAUAACUUCGGGAAACCGGAGCUAAUACCGGAUAAUAUUUUGAACCGCAUGGUUCAAAAGUGAAAGACGGUCUUGCUGUCACUUAUAGAUGGAUCCGCGCUGCAUUAGCUAGUCGGUAAGGUAACGGCUUACCAAGGCAACGAUGCAUAGCCGACCUGAGAGGGUGAUCGGCCACACUGGAACUGAGACACGGUCCAGACUCCUACGGGAGGCAGCAGUAGGGAAUCUUCCGCAAUGGGCGAAAGCCUGACGGAGCAACGCCGCGUGAGUGAUGAAGGUCUUCGGAUCGUAAAACUCUGUUAUUAGGGAAGAACAUAUGUGUAAGUAACUGUGCACAUCUUGACGGUACCUAAUCAGAAAGCCACGGCUAACUACGUG
rnacentral:rRNA from 1 species